GGAAUAUCUUCGUGAAUGGACAAUUGUUUGUAUUUUUGUUGUUGGGUUGAACUUGAUUUAACAUGCAGCAAAGGGAAAGAAAGGACAAAUCCAUCCCAUUUUGCCACAACAAACCCCUUUCACCUUCUUUUUUCUAUCUCAUGUUGAUUGAAAGUUAGAGGAGUAAUGUAAUCCAUAUUAAAAAAUGUAUUUGUGAGAACACACACCCACGCUUUCUUCUCUUUAACAUUGAGUUUGUUCAUUUAGUGUGGUAAAAUCAGUAUGGUAGGCUGCCUGGAUGAAAAAAAAUAACACAUGAACAGCAGCCUCUGAAGCAAUAGAAACGGUUGGACUUUGCACAUCCGGAUGUCACAUGGCACCCUGGGUUGACUUUAAAGGAGGGUAGGAGGAAGGAUCAACAUCACUGUUAGGAGGAACCCACUUUGGCCUCAGAGUGAACUCCCGACUGUACGCACACUUUUCUGCACAUGAAGCCCGUGGAGGGUGUGGACUUGAAGACAAGGCCGGAAAGGGAGCAAAGUGGAAAUGACAGUACACUCCCAGCCUGCAUGAACACAAGUCCUCCUUUUUUCCUUCACACAUGCAUUUCAUUUAGGCCAGACAAGUUUAUGGUAUCAUUCAUUUUCAUGAGGUAGCAGCAUGUGACAGGUCCAGCAGCAUCAGACUGUCGGCACAAAGAUGACUAUUUCUUUUUUCUUUUUUUCUGUCUGUGGAUCUUAGGCUGGCACUGCCCAUACACAAGCAGCUUAAGAAGGUCAAUGGAGAGCCGCUCUGCUUUGGAAACAAGUCUUGCAAGAUAUCUGGAGAAAACAUCAAGACUCUGAUCUGAUAUUAGCCUUAAUGUUAUUUUCAUUUCACAAUUUAAAUGUACUGUAUCGAUGCUCUUUGUUCUCUUAGAGUUGAAAUGCACUAUUUUCUCAAAGUUAUCAGAGCCUGCAGUGCGUAUCAAGCUCCUAACUUUAGGAAAUAAACAGCCACUGUGGUUUUUGAAAAAACAGGUGCAUGGGGUCAGCUCUACCUCUUGAUUCAGCUUAUUUCAUGAAACACCGACACAAACAUGGAUGUGUGGAGUGUACGCUCCAUAUGGAAGUUUUUCUAUGCUGUUGAAAAGCCCAUUUAUGUUUGCACACAUAAGUUCUUGUAGUGCACUAAACUUGUGCUUGAUGCACCUCCAGAGCAGAUGGCUGGCCAACAGGCCCCAAACCCCAAAUGCUUUCAAAAAGACCUAAACCUUUGUGAAAUUCAAUAGAACUUUGUGUCCCUGACUAGACAGACAAAUCAAUAAAGAAAGUUUCAUCAGAAAAUAUCACCAUCUGUUGUUCUGUCCACACUGCAGGAGUAUGACCUGUUGUUAACUUGUAGACUUGGCUAAUAAGAUGAGUUUUUUUUUAUCCAGAAGAACUCAAACCGGCAACCUCAGGCAGAAGAUUAGCAGGUGACCUGUAGCACCGCCAUUCCACAUGUUGUGGAAAUUUGGGGUAAGGCUGUCUGAUCGAAAAUACUGUCCAUGUGUGAUAUUUACAAUUCCGGGUGGUCUUUAGUGCAGAUCAAAGGGCAGAGAAUCACUCCAGACACCUCACACCACAGGACAAUCUGACAAAAAAAGGACUUGUUCUUAAAACCUUAAGAAUGGAUUUUCGUAUGUACCAAAGUCCAAAAACGUACUUCAGGUUUCUACUAUGUUCUUCCAAGUUUUUUGUGUAAACUGGUUGUCCUGACUUGAUGUACUGCAUCUUGUCAGUACAGUCACUUUAUUGCAAACUGAGAAUUUACUUUAACAUAAACACAAGCCAGCAGUUCAGCUUUAAAUGUAAACUGAAAUGACUAAAAAAAUUGCUCUAUGUCAGCAACAUGGUGAGUUAAUGCAUACUGAUGCAAUGAUUCAAUCCCCAUGUCAACUUUCAUUACCUGCUGAGCCGAUCCUGCUGUCACUCCAGGUCAAGUGAUAGAGGAGUGUAUAAUAUCAUUGUCCCCAAUCAGGAAAGUCUUUUUUUCUUUUAUGUUAUUAUGUGUUUUUGCUCACACACUCUAUUGAUCUUUCACAAUUUACUGCUCCUUGGUGAAAGUUUAAGGUCGCGUUCACACUAGCCUUGUUUGGUCUGGACUUGAAAGACUUUUCAGUUUGAUCCGAACCAAAAUUUCAUGUGUGAACACUCCCCCAGUCCACGGUCCAGACUUUUGUUGGACCAAACAAUCGGACCAUGGUCCCCCCAAAAAGUCGUGACUAGGUGUAGUUCAAAGUGAACCAUGGUCUGGUUUGCUUCAGGUGAGAACGUAACCAGACUUUUAAUAGGACCAAAUACAGGAGGCAAACCAAAACAGCAGGGCAUCAUGGGUUGAAGACAGAUGUGUGUUACCAGCUAAGAGAAUAGGAAGCGGAGGGUCUGUGAGCGCUAGCAAUGCGACAGAGAGGAGGAGGAAGCUGACGCGUUAUAAUUUAUCACACCAAAACAUCGGAAUAAACUACCGGCAAAAGGACUGGUCACGUCGGAAAUCAAUACUGCAGUCAUUAAUGAGUCACUUCUCAUCCCUUGGUCUACUGGCUAGAAUUCACUUAAUGUUAAAAACUUACUCAUCUUCUGAGCUAUAAAUACACAGAAAACACAUUAUAGGCACCCACUUUCUCAUUGGUAACGUGUCCUCAGAAUCAUGUCAUACAGUCUAUGGUCAUGGUUCACAUGUCUCCAUCUGUCCUGGUUGCAGCGCCAUUUCAAUAUAAUAGCUGUCAUUGUGAUUUUCCCUAACAAAUUUUCGGACCAAUAGCUGAACAACCUGUAGACUGCAUGUGAUUUGUUUACAAAUAAAGUACAUUUUGACGAAUGGAAGUAUAACCAUAGACUGGACCAAAACUGAAUUGCAACAAUGUAUCAUUUCUUACCAUUGACCAUGGUCCAGACUUUUGGGUGUGAAAGCGACCUACAUUAGUCAGUGUUACCCCGAAAUAUCCACCGCAUCCGGAAUGGUUUCGAUCUGGAACGGCGGUGAUUUUCACCUUCCGCCAAUCCCUACCAGAUCCAUUUGUACCGGAUUACAGACAGCAGGAAUCGCGAGAACUCACAAGAACCUGCAGAUUCACGUGCAAUCGAGUGAUAACAAGUUGUCUCUAUAGCCACAUAACCAUAUAAGCAGUGGAUUGUGUCCUCCCAGAGAAGGAAAUCCACUUCUAGAUUUUAGAAUCAGCAUCUCUUCAUCCAUGGUGUCAUCGGGGUGAAAUGCCAUCUAAAAGCCUUUCACUUUUUCGUCCCUGCCUGUUUGCAUGGUGUGAAAUACAAUCCCCCCGAAACACAAAAUUAACUUAACUUGAAUGGUUACAAUCAGCUGCAAUCAGCGGAUACGGUCUUUUUGUAGCUGUUAUGGAUGCUGUACAGCUUUGUUCAUAUUCGUUUGUCCAGUCUUGUCGUUUUGCUGUUUUUAGCUUUUUGGAGUUAGAUGUAUUAGUAACAAUUUCCUAACCUGCUAACAACUCUUCAUAAGAGCUUAAAACAGCCUUUCAGUAAAAAUGUCCAUCUUUAUCAUCAAUCAGGCAGAUUACUUUUUAAAACAGAUAAUGUGCAACCCUGGAGCACAUAUUUUUGGACUGUAAGGACAGACAAAGUCAUUCCUUCGAAACCCUCUCACAAUAAUCUUUAGUUCAGUAGAUCACUAACCUCAACACCUCAGAGUCAUCUCCAAAUAAUCUCCCCCGAUGUCAGCGCCGAGCUCUGAAAUCCUCACAAAUUCCUUUUUCUUUUAUCAGUGUCAACAGCUGACAGUCUUUGAGGCAAUAUGCAUGCAGCCUUCCUUUAAAAAAUUAAAGCUGUUUGUAUUUCAAAAAGAAUAAUUCACUUACAAAAACAGACAUAUGUGAUGCAGACGGUUGGACUGACAGCUUUGCAUACCCCCCCUUUUUUUGAAAUACCAUUUAAUGAUCAAAAGGGAAAAUAGACAAAAAAGAAAUAACGGUGGAAGAACAAAGUUAGUAUUGGCAUUUUUACCACAGUGGAUGUUGGUUGCAAACAACACAUACAAUUCUGUUAUUGUUGUAUUCUUCAGAUCAAAGGGGGCUUUAAUAAGGCCAUUAUAAAUACAUCUGAAAAAUCACUCUGAUAUUCAGCAAACAAAUCAAUACAGGAUGUGCAGUGUUCAUUGGUCUUUUAUUACAGCACUGUGGGCCAUCUCUGAGGUACUAUAGCAUAAUGAAGAAAAACCUUGCAGGGCUUUGGCAUCCCUGCUGUGUUCAAAGUCAGUCAUAUUCAGCAGAACAUUAUAAUUGAAAUAAAGGUAAUGUCUCCAUCCCUUUGAGCUAGAGCUUACAUUCUUGUUGUUGUUGUUGUUGUUUACUACCAAUGCGCACAAUGCUAGAAGACUAUUGUCGAAGAAUAUGAUCAGCUUUGGGGACCUUCACAUGCUCCAUUGUCAAGUUCAAUAAGACCUGUGGUGAUGUGGAUUGAUUGACUUACCAGACUCUAGGACAAGUCUGGAUCAUCAUUAGAUGUAUAGACUCCCUAUACUAGUGAUUUUUUCUGGGAUGUGCCAUCAACCAUUUAUUCUCUCAUUAUUUAUUCAACAGCAAUGGUAAAGUGCAUCCUUAAAUCUAAACCCCUGUUACACUUCCCUUUCUGUGCACAGUGACAGUUGUUUAGGCUUCAGGCCGUAGUCCAACACCACCAGCCUACUUCCUUCCUUUGCAAUAUUGAUGGGCUUCAGUCCCCUCAGACCUUUUAAAUGCCAGGCCUGAAGUGGGACGGGUAACUCCAGAGGGGAUGUGUGUGUGUGUGUGUGUGUGUGUUCCCUGUUUUAUUCUUAAGGUAAGCUUUUAGUAUUUCCUGUUUUACUUUCUACUUCCUGUGUCUGCAGCGACGCCUUGUUGUCUCACCUGUAUCUCAUAGCUCGUCACUCAGUGUGUACUAAACCAUGUCCACAAAGAGCUGAGUUUAUUUAUGUGUAUCCACAAAAGUUUUUUAUUGUUCAGAGCCAGUGUUUUAGGAGCCUUAGGGCCUGAUCUACUAAGAUCCCAAAUAAAGAGCGCUAAAGAGCGUGUGCAAAGAAAAAAAACUGCUAUUAGUAGGCGUGUUGCGGGUGGGCUAAUAACAUUGCGCCCACCCUCUUUAAACCAAGGAUUUUGUGUGCGCUAUCGGCCGUCACCAUGGAGAGUUUGUGAGAGUAGAGUGAUCGUAGAUUAAACAAUAAGCCUGAAGCCGUGGAGUUGCACCCAUCAUUUUGGGGAAGCCAGCAACUGCAUAAAAGGCAAGGGAAGUGUGUUUGUCUAGAACCAUUUAUACACAAGGCAAUUCAAAGUGCUUUACAAAUGCAAGAAAAUAUUUUAGAAAUGAAAAAAAGAUCCAGACAAUUUAAAAUCAAUAAGACAAAGAAAUAAAUUUUUGCGACUGUUACGUGUUUGACCUAAUUAUUCAUCAAAACUGUCAUUCACUAGAAAAACGCUUUUGUACUUUUGCCUCCUUCUACCUGCAAUGACUGCAGCUAUUUGUGUGUAAUAUUGUGCCAGUUUGCACGUGCCUUUCAAACGUGCCAAAUAUUGACACAAAACAGUGACCGCAAUUGGUUUCCGGGCGUGAUACAUCACAUUGCGGGUGCUAAAUGAUUCUAUUUGCAUCUGCUCCUCCCAGAAGUUUGCUCGUUCUGAUGAUCUACAUACAAUCUGCACAUUUUAUGAAGGCAAACACGCUAACUCGAUUGCAUGUGCUGUUUUACUAAUUUGACAGGCGCAAUACUCGGUGCACCCGGUUAGUAGAUCAGCUUUUCGUGUGCUAUCAAGUUUGCACCUGUUUUUGCACACACAAACCUUUAGUAGAUCAGGCCCUUAAUACGCUAAUUUUUGAAACCAUGUCCUAGAGUGAGCAAAUCGAAAGAUGACACCCUCGCGUUUCUGUGUUUACAACCCAGACGCAUCUUUCCUGAACCGAUGAUGUCAGUUCUUCUUCUGAAUGUGUUCGUUUACAAGGCUGGAGUUUUAUGUGCAUACUCCAUGUCUUAUUCUCUGGUUUUGUUGUAUAUCUGUGGCAGCGUUACAGCACCUCCUUUAACCCUUACUUUGUACUUGUGGUUUUCCUGGUGUCUUUUUGUUUGACAUCUUUAGGAUAAGUUUUUAUGUUUUCCCCUUUUCUUUAUUAAACCUUCAAGUGCCGGCACACAAGUCUUUCUUUGAAAUUUGUUCGUUACUGUUCACUGUGAAAUUUCAAUAACGAGAAAGGCAAGUCCAUUGCAGUGGCUCUAGAGGGGUGGUGCUUUUACAGCUCGUGACUGGCCAUGAUGGGCAUUGCAUGUCGUGGCAGUAGAGGUGGCUCUAUUCUCUGUGUCUCUCACCGAUAAAGCCUAAUAAGAGCACAGACAUGUCGGUGACCUGUCAACAAAAUAGUUUGAGUUCCCCCCAGGCCGGCAUCCAAAAUCUGACCUUUAAGCCUGUGCUCCAGAGACUGUGGUUGAAAAAAGGUUGAGAGGAGAGCUCAGCAUCCCUUUUUACCCACAACACAAGUCCACCACACUCCUAACCUCACAAUCAUGCACCGCAGUAUAUAAUAAACCUUGUUUGAAGUACAUUAACCUGGCUUGCAACAAUACUAAUGUGCCCCCUGAGGGGGCAGCUGGCUUUAUUGAAUUCCUGUUUCUUGGAUGUAUCACUCCUGAGUGUUAAGUGCUCUCAUUUUAAGUUAGCAGGCAUAUAUGGACACCUUUUGUUAUCUGUAGUUUUUUUUCUUUUUUCACCCCUUUUUUUCUAUUGGACUACCUCUGGAUUAAAUGGACACCAACAAAAAACAUGAACAAGUCAAAAUCCUGCCCUUUUUUCCAAACUAUUUUCAUACAUUUUCCUGACAUAAUUAGUCACAACAACCUUAAAUUGAGACCCUCAAAACCUGCUUUGAAUGAAUCACAUUUAAUAAAAAAAAAACUAUGUGCCUGAAACAAUUUUGGAUUCAUAAUACAGGCAGGGAAAAACAUUUUAUAUUGUGUUUUUUUCAUCUUAAUUCAAAAAUGAGUGUUGAUAAAAGGUGAAUGGUAAAUGGACUUGUACAUGUUGAGUGAUUUUCUAAUCUUUCUGACCACUCAAAAUGCUUUUACACCUGUCAAGACAUCUACCCGUUCACAAUGCGUUCAUACCUCUACAGCACAGGUUGCUUUAGCACAAGGAUGGACCAUUUCUAUUGAUGUGCAUUCACAAACAGCUCACUGUGUCACCAAAAGCAAUGUGGGGUCCAGUGUCAUGCCCAAGGAUGCUUACCUUGUACCUGAUGUUGUUUAGUAUAUUUGUAAAUAUUCAUAAGCCUUUUCACAAUAAAGGGUCAUUUUGAGUCAUUACUAGGCCUGGGAAACAACCAUGCUUCUGCAGAAAGUGUAGCUUCGUUAAGUUAAGUAUAACAUAGAAUUUAAAAGAAUUUAAAAGCCUCAUUUGUGUUUUAUCUGUCAUCAUUGUUGGUCUGCCUCGCUUUGUGUUGAUGCAUAAAGUUUUUGAAAUAUAUCAAAAUGAAUUGAUUAGAUAUACUCAAACAGAGCUGAAUUAGUUUAAAUAGGUUGAUAAAAACUGUUAGAGAUGCUUCCAAGCAGGUUAAAUCCAUGGAUCUAUCAAUCAAAAUGGCCAGCAUAUUGAUAUUCUUGCCAAAUAUAACCUGGUUUAACAUCAUAAAUCUGUAUAUCACAUAAUCAUACAGCCCUGAUUCAGCAAACACUGCCAAGAGAGUCUGUUUACUCACUGAUUGCCUGAUAGCAUCAAUAACAACACUCCUGAAGACAACUGUUGUCCUGCUAAUAUGCACAUGGUGAAUUAUUGCAGCACAAAGGGGAGACAGAGAGGCGUGUGUGUGUGUGUGUGUGUGUGUGUGUGUGUGUGUGUGUGUGUGUGUGUGUGUGUGUGUGUGUGUGUGUGUGUGUGUGUGUGUGUGUGUGUGUGUGGCCCCGGCGCCAGAGGAAAGUAGCUGGUGAGGCAAUGGGUUUUUGAGGGUGGGCCAUGAUGGAAGAAUUUGUUUGAACUUUCUAUUACAAUAAAGGACUUACAUUGAAUUGUUUGCUCCACAUUUAAUUUAGCAAGUUACAGUGGCAGGGUAAACUUUCCUUUUACAGGCAGAAACCUUGAGAAAAAACAGACUCAUGUCAGACAGUCAUCUGCCUCUACUGCACUGGGUUAAGAGAAGGGAGAGAGGGACAUGCAGAAAGAGAGAAAUGGACAGAGGUAAAAUUGAUGCUUGUAGCUAUAAAGCAGCUGGAAAGCAGGCAGGUCAAUGGUAGCUAAACUUCUGAAGCAGCGAUCCAGAGGAACCUACAGCAUGAUGGAGCUCAGAGACAGUUUAAGAAACAAACAAAAAAGCAUUUAAUGCUCAUAAGCAUGUUUAAAUAAGCGUAUGAUUAAAUAACAAAUCGGACUUAAAAAUCAGGAGCGAUCCAUACCCCCAAUUUCCACUGCAUUCGGAACAGCUCCACUGCGAAACAGCGGCAAUUUUCGCCAUCCGCCAAUUCCGGAUUUACCACAUGUGGUAUUACCAAUACUAGAUGCCUUUGUGAGGCGACUUUCAUGGUGGAUUUCAUACAGCAGAAAUCGCAAGAACUCACAGAAACCCGCGGAUUCACAUGCUAUCGCGUGAUAACGAGUUGUCUCAAUAAAGACAGCCACAUAUAUAAUAUAUAUGUGUAUAUAAGCAGUAGAUUGUGUGCUUUCAGAGGAGGAAAUACACUUCUAGACUUCUACAAUCAGCAUCUCCUCAUCCAUGGUGUCAUCGGGGUGAAAUGAAGUCUGAAAACCUUUCACUAGUUCAUCUCUGCACAUGUUUGCAUGGUGUGAAGUACAAUCCGCCUGAAACACGUAGGGCUCUAUUUUCAUGUUCCCUGGGGACGUGGCGGACCCCGCGCAGUGGUCUUUUCAUCUGGCGGGGCAUGGCAUACAGCCAGUUUGUUAUUUUUGUGGGCUGAGGCGCACCGAGGUCCACCAAGCUGGGCGUGGUGGCGUGGCAGGGGGAGGUGCCGACAGAAUCAGCGGGCGCAGUGACAUUUUCGUGCUCGCUGGUGGCAUAUAAAUUGCGCGAAAGCUCGCCGAUUCAAACCUGGUCAGCUUUCAGCGCAGGCGGAGCACAGCUGGUCCAGUGGUAUUUUGAUAGACCGGCGGCGUAUCGGCAUAUGUCACCGAUGCCUCACCGGCAGGUUUCCACAGUGUCAGGCACAUUUCAGUGCAAUAAAUAAUCAUCAACAACUAAUAAUCUGAGUCAGCACAUACAUUUAGAUCUAUAUCGAUAUAUUCUGAUCUACAUCUGAUCUAAUGAGCGUGUUUGGCACGCGUUUGGACACACAACCUGACCGAAUUAACACAGCUGAAACCGCAUUAAAUUAAAUUAAAUAUCUAGUAAAUAAAAACACAUGAUGAAGUUAACAAGAUAUGUGAUUCGUCUCCCUCCUUUUCUAUCUUCCUCUUAUUUCUCACGCAGCUCGACCUGGACAUGUCUCCGUGUCCUCUCUCCGUCCUGCAGCGGCUGAACAGAUGAUUUGUUUCAGUGCUCAGAUGAGUUAUUUACCUUAAACCUACAUACGGAUAUUAUAAUAUUCAGUUUUGUGAGCCAAAUUUAUUUUAUAUGCCAACAUCUAUGAAAGAAAGAGCCAGGCCACGGAGCGCGAUGCGUCAUUUACGCACAGAUGGUUCAGAUUUUAAUGCCAUUAUUGGAAUUUAUGUUGGGAUCUGUGCGCACAACCCACCUUUGUCACGUGAGGUUUGAAUAUGUGCAACUUUAUGUGGGUGUAUUUAUUUGUGGAAAAGGGCAUUUGUCUUACUAGUGAGUCCAACAUUACACACACCAAAUUCAUCUGUGGUCAUAUGAGAGAGUGUGGAGGACGCCCAAUGCAGCGCUUACAGUGACACUUGUUGAGGAGCUGCCUUCUGUCGCCAUCUUGUGGCAUUACUGUCUUCAGACAUCUCUUGAUCUCUUUGACUACUUCACGAAAAUAGUAAUAAGCCUCGCCGGUGGCGGAGUUAAAGGCGAGGAGAGGAGCUGAUGUUAUUGGUCAAUACAGGUCUUGGCUGUGUUAAACCCACUCCACGCCC